AAAACUUAUCCUUCCUCAGUCUCUAUGACAUUGUUGUUUCUGGGUUAAUCAUCAUUGUGGGCUCCACUUCUUCCAUCAGACUUUAAAUCUUGGGGUUUUCUAGGAUAUCAUUUUUAGAUGUUGUUUUCUUUCUAAGCUGCACAUAUUUUCUAUUUCUCUUCCAUAGGUAGAUGAUGAUUCCCAAAUCUACAUAUAUAGCCUGUGGUUUUCUCUCACUUUUUGUAUCCUUUUAGUGACGAAUUCCUACCAAUCUUACCUACAAAUCUCACUUGGAUCUAUGAUUUAUCUCUAUCUUUUAUCAGAGAAACAGUAAAGGGCCCUGGACUCAAACUCCCUCUGUGCAAGUCCUGGCUGUGUUUCUUGCUACCGGCGUAAUGUGCUAUUUAAGCAGCAGUGCAUGUCUCCUCACAUUUGAAAAUAUUGAUUGGGUCUUGAAGACAGAAUAACAAGCGCCAGAACUCAAGCAUUUUGCCAGGAGUGGUGCUGCCUCAUCAGUACUUCAGAUCCAGGCAGGGAAACUGUCAGCAGAACUGCUCCAAAGUCUGCUUUGUGAAAUGCACAUAAGCGGUCUCCCAGACCCACUUUCCAUCCUUCUCCUUUCUGAGGAGGAGGUGGUUAGAAAAAAAAGAAGAAGACAACAAAAGAGUAGAUGAGAGAGAUGUGGCAAAAGAAGAGGCAGAAGAGAAGAGGCAAGAGAAGGAUUCUCCCACCCAUUGCUGUCUUUAGAGAUGCAGGCUAUGAGCCAAAAAGCACAGAUAGCUCCGGAAGCUGAGGACAAGCCACACUGCCCACACUCCCGCAACUGCCCAGAACUGAAUUUUGCCAAUUACCUGCAUAAAUCAGAAAAUGGAUGCUCACUAGAGUCUCCAGAAGGGAGCCUGGCUUGCUGACACCUAGAUUUUUGUCUUGUGAGACUGAUCAGAGGAAUUAUCCCAGCACACUUGACUUCUGAAAUUGUGAUAUAUCUAUGCCUGCAGAAACCCAUGACAUGCAGAAACUAUGAGUUAAUAAAUGAAUGUUGUUUUAAGCCAUCAAGUGUGUGGUAAUUUGUCACAGCAGCCCUAGAAAACGAAUAGACUCUCUAACUAACAUUGGUGUUUCAAAUUUACCAUAGGCACUGUGUAUAUAAUCUCCCUCAUACACAUGUUUCCAUUGAUAUUCAACAAAGAAGAAAAAGAAAAGGGAGGGGGAGAAAGUGAAGGGUCGUGGAAAGCAGUAGCUCAAGAAAAGGAAGAAGGAGAACUAACAAGAGGAAGAAUAAGAGGAGAAAGGAAGAAAAAAAUACCAUUUUACAAAAAAGAGAAUGCAAAGCAACUCACAGACAUUUAGUUGUAAGCUAUUGCUUAAUUACCAAAUCAAGAUUUUUUUACUUCAGCUACUGAAUCCAGGUGAAAGAAACUAUCUCUGUUCUAUUUAUAACAUGAAAGAGUUCUAAAGCACAUAUGUUUAACAAAUUGCAUUUGCACUUUAUCAUCUCAACACUCUUUCACUAGAAUGAACAGAUAAGCCCACUUCCUCCAAAAUAACUGGUGUGGGAUUGUACCUAUGGUGCACCCAUCUUAUACUCUUUGUGUUUAAAGGACUAGAUCAUAGGUUGUCUAUGAAGGGAAAUGCUAAUAUCAUGUUUGCUAAGGUUUACACCAGCCAAAGUGCAUUGAAUUCUAAUCUUAGAGUCAAUUAGAAGCACAAUUAUCACAUCUCCCCUUCUUUCUUCCCACAGAAAUAUCUUCAUUACCAACACAGUGCUUGGCCAGCAGGGCAGUGGUUAAGACUAAACACCCAACCCUCAAAAUCCCAGGUUAUAUUUAAGCACAUUUUCAUGUAUUAAAAUGAAACAGUCUAUCCUGGGAUUGGCUCAGAAGCAAGUUAAUUCUUGUUAAUGGAUUUUUUGUUGUUGUUGUUCUAGAGGAAAAUCCCCUUAAAAGCUCCCCUGGUGUGGCUUUCUAUUGGAGCUGGCCUGAAGACAGAAAUUUCCUAGAAUGAGAAGGUUUUUUGCACUAGGGAAAUGUUUAAACAUAGCCAUUGAUUCUGCUGGCCAAAUACAUAACAGAGAUCAACAUUGCAAGAAGUACUGGAGCUUAAUAAUAUCGAACACUUUCCCAUACUGAGGGUUAUUCAUACUAAAUAUUAGUCUGGAAGUCUAUUCUGAUGCUGUCCCUAUCCACUCUUAACUCUCCACAUUUCCUCCUCAUACAUGUAAUUUUUUCCAGGUGUACAACAAAAGCCCCUUUCCUUCAACAAACAGCCUGCAGAUAAUUGUGUUUUUCCUCAUGUACAGAGGAAAAAGGGCAUACAUACAACACAGCACAAAAUAGAUCCAAAUACAUAGCCUCAUAGAAAAACUAGAAAAAUAAUACCUGUGGAAGUUUACUCAAGCACCAACCUUUCUCUCUUUUUGCUUUCUAAGAAGGAUCAUCCACUGUCAAUGGUAACUCUGAGACUCUUAGGAUGAAGCUUGGCUAGCUAAGUUUCUACCACCAUCCCUACCCAACCAAUUGUGAGUGAAGAAUUUAUUAACCUGAAUAACGAUGGUCCACUAUACUAGUGUACACUCAAAACUGUUUAUGAUGACUCCAGUGAAACUAAAAUUUUAACAUAGGCAGGUAGAUACAACAUGCAUUUGCUCUCCAGCCUGGGAGAGGUGGGGUGGAAUGUUUUAUAUGGAUGCUAUAUGUCUAUUUCAUGUUAUUUUUUAAGGUUCACUCAUAAAUCAUUUUCAGAGACACAUGCACAUAUAUAGACAUACACACUGAAUUCUUCAUUCACAAGAUUCAUAUGAAAUUUUAUUCUAUAAUAAAGCUACUUCUCUUAUACUACUACUGGCAUUUUACCUCUAUGUUUCUCAUCCAUCAAUGCUAUGAAAAUUAUAUAAUGAGAUAUACCCUACUGUUGCCUAAAGCAUAUGUGCAAAUUAAUCAUUUUCAUUUUUGUACAUAGAGAGAAUAUAGAGAAUUCAAGAUCAACUGGAAAAAGGUACUUUCAAGUGGAGGUUCUAUUUGACCCCAAUAAUAACAUUAAUUUUUUCAUGUGUUGCCAACAAUGUGAUCCCUUAGCCUCUUAAAUUAUAUGAAUCAUGUCGCAUUAUUAACAUUAUUUCAAAAUCAAUGUAAUUUAAUGCCAUGUAAUUUGUAUAUUUGUGAGUUAA
rnacentral:lncRNA from 1 species